ACGGAGGGUGCAAGCGUUGUUCGGAAUUAUUGGGCGUAAAGGGCGCGUAGGCGGUAAUGUAAGUCAGAUGUGAAAUACUUCGGCUCAACUGAAGAACUGCAUCUGAAACUGCAUAACUAGAGUACAGAAGAGGGAAACGGAAUUCCCGGUGUAUAGGUGAAAUUCGUAGAUAUCGGUAGGAACACCAAUGGUGAAGGCGGUUUCCUGAUCUGAUACUGACUCUGAGGCGCGAAAGUGUGUGGAGCAAACAU
rnacentral:rRNA from 1 species